AAGGGUGAGUAAGGCGACGGUAACCAACCCCAGGAUUGGGUAUAGCCGCGGGAAACCGCGGGUAAUCCCCAGCGACGCAACGACACCGGCAUCGGUGUUUUGCCAAAGCUUCGGCGUCGUGGGACGGGCUGUCGUGGUAUUAGCUUGUUGGCGGGGUAAUGGCCCACCAAGGCUGUGAUGCCUACCGGGCGUGCGAGCGUGGCCCGGCACACUGGGACUGAGACACUGCCCAGACUCCUACGGGAGGCUGCAGUCGAGAAUCUUCGGCAAUGGGCGCAAGCCUGACCGAGCGACGCCGCGUGGAGGAUGAAGGCCUUCGGGUUGUAAACUCCUGUCGAAGGGGAAAAAGGGUUGAAAGACCUUGAUUGAUCCCUGGAGGAAGCACGGGCUAAGUUCGUGCCAGCAGCCGCGGUAAGACGAACCGUGCGAACGUUAUUCGGAAUCAUUGGGCUUAAAGCGCGUGUAGGCGGAUUCGUGCGUCUGUCGCUGAAAUCCCCCGGCUCAACCGGGGAACGGGCGUGGAUACGACGAGUCUGGAGGGGCAUAGGGGGACCUGGAACUUCCGGUGGAGCGGUGAAAUGCGUUGA
rnacentral:rRNA from 1 species